rnacentral:lncRNA from 1 species
GCCUGGCAUGUUUACCAGUACAAGGAGCAUCAAUCUCAUUAGGUAAAUGGAGAAUUUGGAUUCUGGAGAAACCACAGUCUGCCUGAAGCUUUGGUUCCAUCCUCAUGCCUGCAUCCAGUCCAGUCUAUCUGUCCUUCCAGAUCUCAAAUCAACUACAAACUACUCCAGCAACUUGCCAGCCCCGGGUGUUCCCUUGGAAUCUGUAUGCUAGAAGCAAAUAGCUUCAGAAGGCUCCAACACUGCUUAAGUUUCCCCAGAAGGCGGGGUAGAACCAGGACGUCAAAUGAAACAGCCUUCUUAUCCAGACCUUGACAAACAUUCCAGUCUCAUUGGGUCCAGAUGAAAUGAUGGGACCAGUAUCAGCAAAAGACAUCUGGAAACAAUGGCACCACUGGUCCAACACCCAGUGAUCCAAUAAUAAAACAAAAAGAUGCGACUGGAGAGGCCUUUGA